GACGAACGCUGGCGGCGUGCUUAACACAUGCAAGUCGAACGGAAAGGCCCUGCUUUUGUGGGGUGCUCGAGUGGCGAACGGGUGAGUAACACGUGAGUAACCUGCCCUUGACUUUGUGAUAACUUCAGGAAACUGGGGCUAAUACCGGAUAGGAGCUCCUGCUGCAUGGUGGGGGUUGGAAAGUUUCGGCGGUUGGGGAUGUACUCGCGGCUUAUCAGCUUGUUGGUGGGGUAGUGGCUUACCAAGGCUUUGACGGGUAGCCGGCCUGAGAGGGUGACCGGCCACAUUGGGACUGAGAUACGGCCCAGACUCCUACGGGAGGCAGCAGUGGGGAAUAUGGCACAAUGGGCGGAAGCCUGAUGCAGAAACGCCGCGUGCGGGAUGACGGCCUUCGGGUUGUAAACAGAUUUCGAAGGUGACGAAGAGUGAGUGACGGUAAUGGGUAAAGAAGUACCGGCUAACUACGUG
rnacentral:rRNA from 1 species